GUGGGGGAGAGGUGGGUCAUUUUCUACACAGUUUCUCAUGUGGACAAAAUAAUAAUGAGUUAGAGAGGUGGGUCUGUAGAGGGGGUUAAGGAGUCUGUAGAAUGGAUCUCUCUUUUUCAAGUCACUACUAGUUGUAUUAGAUACAUGGGCAUGUGGAGUUUGUCAGAUUAAUUGUAAGAAAGUGGAAUUAUGUACUGGCAAUACUGCCUCACAGAAGCCUUUAAAGUCCUUUUGUUCAACCUUACACAAUUUGACCUUAUUGCCCUUGUAAAAACUCUAUGAACAUGAACAUGAUCAUCAUCAUGCUGCCAUAUGGCAUUUGGCAGAUAAUGCUUUCAAAAAUUUCUCUGUGGGUUUUCAUUUAAUACUCUUAAAUAUAUCUGUUCAUCAUAUUAUGC
rnacentral:misc_RNA from 1 species